GCGCAUACUACAACAUAGCAUCAUGUGAGCACACAUUAACAUACUUUGGGCAUAAAACCCACCUAAACCUCAACAUGCUCAUCUACCCAAAAACUUGCAUAAAACUUUCAUAAAACAUAAAAGAAGUGUAGAUCGGAGCUUACCUCUUGAAGAUCGAGAGGAAGAACGAUCCUAGCUUGGAGAAUGGAGAGAUCGAGCUCCAAGCACCUCCAAGUUCCAAAACUUGCUCCUUAACUCAAAAUCUUCAAAACUAAGUUGAAAUCUCGUUA
rnacentral:lncRNA from 1 species